rnacentral:misc_RNA from 1 species
AAGUCGUAACAAGGUUUCCGUAGGUGAACCUGCGGAAGGAUCAUUAAAGAGUUAGGGUCUCACAGGCCCGACCUCCAACCCUUUGUUGUUAUAACUAAACUGCUGCUUUGGCGGGACCGCUCGGUCUCGAGCUGCUGGUCUUCGGCCCGGCAAGUGCCCGCCAGAGUCUACUCAAACUCUUGUUUUAACCGGUCGUCUGAGUUAAUUUUUGAAUCAAAUCAAAA